AAAUAUUCUAAAUAUUAGUUCUUCAUUAAAAAAAUUCAAUAUAUGACUUGGUAAUGGUAACGUGGAAAAGAAUUAAAUGUCUAAGUAUCACUGAAGUUGAACGCCAAAUAGCUUGGUACAAUUACGAAUUCCCUUGUUUAAAUGUUGAUAUUUUUCAAUUUUAUAAAUAUACAGUGAGAUGGAAGUGAAAUGGCAUGUUUAGGUCAGUAAUCACAAUCAUAGAUAAAAAAAAACUAGUAGUAUUAUAGUCUAAUGUCUAAGGUUUACAAAUCCAUGUUUGAAAUUCCAAUACAAUAUAUUUACAGUGGCAGGCAUAUUAUAGACACUAUGGCAGGCAUAAAGGACAAAAUAGAUAAACUCAAGGAGAGGCCCAAAAGCCCAAAGCCCAUUAACGAAUUGGAUCAACAUCAUCAUACAUACUAUUUAAUAUAUAAAACAAAGCAUAGAUGAGUGUUGUGUUGCCAUACUUUGUGUAUUUGUUGGAAGAGGCCAGAAAAGCCAAAUAACAACAACACGUGUAGGGUGAAAAGAAGGGACACGCACCUUCUGCAUACUGUUGAAGCCAUAAGUCCAUCCAGGUCCAGCUAUCAUCUUUCUCUCUUGUCCACUCGAUUCUGUUGUGCAGAAGCAAUUCAUUGCAAGGCUUUAAGCAAGGCUUUCUUAUAUUAAAUCAUCUUAGCUCCGCCACGGCGCCCCCCCGC
rnacentral:lncRNA from 1 species